rnacentral:rRNA from 1 species
GUGAACGCUGGCGGUAGGCCUAACACAUGCAAGUCGAACGGCAGCACAGUAAGAGCUUGCUCUUACGGGUGGCGAGUGGCGGACGGGUGAGGAAUACAUCGGAAUCUACUUUUUCGUGGGGGAUAACGUAGGGAAACUUACGCUAAUACCGCAUACGACCUACGGGUGAAAGCAGGGGAUCUUCGGACCUUGCGCGAUUGAAUGAGCCGAUGUCGGAUUAGCUAGUUGGCGGGGUAAAGGCCCACCAAGGCGACGAUCCGUAGCUGGUCUGAGAGGAUGAUAAGCCACACUGGAACUGAGACACGGUCCAGACUCCUAAGGGAGGCAGCAGUGGGGAAUAUUGGACAAUGGGCGCAAGCAUGAUCCAGCCAUACCGCGUGGGUGAAGAAGGCCUUCGGGUUGUAAAGCCCUUUUGUCGGGAAAGAAAAGCAGCAGGUUAAUACCCCGCUGUUCUGACGGUACCCAAAGAAUAAGCACCGGCUAACUUCGUG